GCGUUGUCCGGAUUUACUGGGCGUAAAGAGCGCGUAGGCGGAGAUCUAAGCGUGGCCUGAAAGCCCCCGGCUCAACCGGGGAGUGCGGCUGCGAACUGGGUUUCUUGAGGACGAUAGAGGAGAGUGGAAUUCCUGGUGUAGCGGUGAAAUGCGUAGAUAUCAGGAGGAACACCCGUGGCGAAGGCGGCUCUCUGGGACGGUACUGACGCUGAGACGCGAAAGCGUGGGGAGCGAACGGG
rnacentral:rRNA from 1 species